GCGCUCGCUCUGGCAGCACAUAUACUAAAAUCGGAACGAUCCAAAGAUUAGCACGGCCCUGCGCAAGGAUGGCACGCAGAUUCAUGAAGUGUUCCAUAUUUAA